rnacentral:rRNA from 1 species
AUGGCGGAGGUGGUGGCCGCCAUGGCCAUCCGGCCACUGGUGUCCCUGUUGAUGAGCAAGGCAUCCAGCUCCCUCCUGGACCAGUACAAGGUGAUGGAGGGAAUGGAGGAGCAGCACAAGAUUCUCAAGCGUAAGCUUCCGGCCAUCCUCGACGUCAUCACCGAUGCCGAGGAGCAGGCCACGGCUCAUAGAGAAGGUGCCAAAGCCUGGCUUCAGGAGCUCAAGACUGUGGCCUAUGAAGCAAAUGAAGUCUUUGACGAGUUCAAGUAUGAAGCGCUCCGCCGUGAAGCCAGGAAGAAGGGGCACUACAACAAGCUUGGCUUCGAUGUAAUAAAACUCUUCCCUACUCACAAUCGUGUUGCGUUCCGUUACAAAAUGGGCCUCAAGCUUUGCCUGAUUUUGCAAGCCGUUGAGGUCCUCAUAGCAGAGAUGCAGGUCUUUGGGUUCAAGUAUCAACCGCAGCCGCCGGUGUCCAUGGAGUGGAGGCAGACCGAUUAUGUUAUCACUGACCCACAAGAAAUUGCAAGCAGGUCCAGAGACAAAGAUAAGAAGAAUAUUGUUGCUACACUACUUGGUCAAGCUAACAAUGCAGAUCUUGCAGUUGUUCCCAUCGUUGGAAUGGGUGGCCUUGGCAAGACCACAUUAGCACAACUCAUAUACAAUGAACCUAGAAUUCAGAAGCAUUUCGAAUUGUUGCUGUGGGUAUGUGUCUCUGAUGUCUUUGAUGUGAACUCCCUAGCCAAGAGUAUAGUUGAAGCAUCUCCCAAGAAAAAUGAUGAUACAAACAAACCACAACUAGAGAGACUUCAGAAAUUGGUCAGCGGGCAGAGGUAUCUCCUUGUGUUGGAUGAUGUCUGGAACAGAGAAGUCCAUAAGUGGGAAAGGCUGAAGGACCAUCUUAAGCAUGGUGCCAUGGGUAGUGCGGUGCUGACAACAACUCGUGAUAAAGGAGUUGCUGAAAUUAUGGGUGCAGAUACCCACAUUCUCGGUCGUUUGGAUGAUAGAUUCUUAAAGGAAAUUAUUGAGGCUGGAGCAUUCAGUUCCCGAAAAAAAAAGCCUGUUGAGCUAGCCAAGAUGGUUGAUCAGAUUGUGAACAGAUGUCGUGGCUCUCCUUUAGCUGCAAGUGCACUGGGUUCUGUACUUCGUACCAAGGCCACCGUGAAAGAAUGGAAGGCUAUAGCAUCUAGAAGCAGCAUUUGCACUGAGGAAACUGGAAUCUUGCCAAUACUCAAGCUUAGCUACAACGAUUUGCCAUCGCACAUGAAGCAGUGCUUUGCUUUUUGUGCUGUAUUUCCAAAGGAUUACAAGAUUGAUGUAGGGAAGCUGAUCCAACUAUGGAUCGCAAAUGGCUUUAUCCCUCAACACAAGGAAGAUAGUCUUGAAAUCAUUGGACAACUUAUUUUUGAUGAGCUUGCUUCAAGGUCAUUCUUUCUGGAUAUAGAGAAGAGUAAAGAAGACUGGGGUUAUUAUUCAAGAAAUUCAUGUAAAAUCCACGAUCUUAUGCAUGAUAUUGCAAUGUCUGUUAUGGAAAAGGAAUGUGUUGCUGCGACUAUGGAGCUAAGUGAAAUUGAGUGGCUUGGAGAUACUGCUCGGCAUUUGUUUUUAUCAUGUAAAGGAACAGAAGGUAUUUUGAAUGAUUCUUUGGAGAAAAGAUCCCCUGCCAUUCAAACACUCAUAUGUGAUAGUCCUAUGCAAAGCUCGUUGAAGCAUCUGUCAAAAUACAGCUCUUUGCAUGCCUUAGAGCUCUGUAUGUGGACAGAAUCAUUUCCACUAAAACCAAAGUAUCUACAUCACCUGAGGUACCUUGAUCUCUCGUGGAGUUAUAUCAAAUCACUUCCUGAAGAUAUAAGUAUUCUAUAUAACCUGCAAAUGCUGGACCUUUCCUACUGCUCUUAUCUUGAUCGACUUCCGAGGCAAAUGAAGUAUAUGACUUCCCUCUGCCACCUCUACACUCAUGGAUGUCCGGAGUUGAAGUCCAUGCCUCCAGAACUCGGAAAACUCAAAAAGCUGCAGACGCUCACAUGUUUUGUGGCAGCAGUUACUGGCCUUGAUUGCAGUGAUGUCGGAGAGCUGCAGCAUUUAAACCUUGGUGGGCAGUUAGACCUAUGUCAGAUAGAGAAUGUUAUAGCAGCAGAGGAAAAAGUGGAAAACCUUGGAAACAAGAAGGAUCUCAGAGAACUGACGUUAAGAUGGAAUUCUGUUUGUGAUAGCAAGGUUCUCGACAAUUUCAAACCACGUGGUGGGCUGCAGGUUCUGAAGAUAUAUUCCUAUGGAGGAGAGUGCAUGGGUAUGCUGCAAAACAUGGUUGAGAUCCAUCUUGUUGGUUGCCAAAGAUUGCAAGUUUUGUUCAGAUCUAGUACAAUCUUCACUUUUCCAAAACUGAAGGUGCUUACACUAGAGCAUUUGUUGGGUUUUGAGAGAUGGUGGCAAAUAGAUGAGAGGCAAGAAGAACAGACAAUAUUUCCUGUGCUUGAGAAGUUGUUUAUUAGUCAUUGUGGAAAGUUGGUAGCAUUGUGUGAAGCACCAUUGUUGCAAAGACCUUGUGGUGAAGGUGGUUAUAAAUUGGUACGCUCAGCAUUUCCUGCCCUAAAGGUGCUCGAACUGGAAGACUUGGAGAGCUUUAAGAGAUGGGAUGAAGUCGAAGAGACUCAAGGGGAACAGAUAUUGUUUCCUCAGCUUGAGGAACUGUCAAUUGAGAAAUGCCCAAAGCUGACAGCGUUACCUGAAGCACCGUUGCUUCAAGAAGCAUGCAGUGAAGGUGGUUAUAGAUUGAUACACUCAGCGUUUCCUUCCCUAAAGGUGCUGAAAAUGAUAGACUUAGAGAGGUUUCAGAGAUGGGGUGCUGCUACUGAAGGUGAACAGAUAUUGUUUCCUCAGCUUGAGGAGCUGUUUGUUUUGAGAUGCCCAGAGGUAAUAGGUUUACCUGAAGCACCAAAUCUCAGUGUAUUACAUAUUAUAGAUGGCAAACAAGAGAUCUUCCACUGUGUACACAGUUAUUUGUCUUCACUGACCAAUCUGACACUGAAGCUAGAAUACACAGAAAAAACAUCAGAGGCUGAGUGCACUUCAAUUGUACCAGUGGAUAACAAGGAGAAAUGGAACCAGAAAUCCCCUCUUACAGUUGUGGAGUUAGGAUGCUGCAACUCAUUCUUUGGACCAGGUGCACUAGAGCCGUGGGACUAUUUUGUACACCUUAAAAAGUUGGAAAUUGAUAGAUGCGAUGUGCUCGUCCACUGGCCAGAGAAAGUGCUCCAAAGCUUGGUAUCCUUGAGGACAUUAGUGAUUACAAACUGCGAAAAUCUGACUGGAUAUGCACAAGCUCCUCUUGAUCCAUUGGCUUCCGAAAGGAGCCAGCACCUGAGAGGUCUGGAGUCUCUUCAGUUAAAAUGGUGUGAAAGUGUGGUAGAGAUGAUCACUGGCCCGGCAUCUCUCAAGAGCAUGGAGAUUAGGUCGUGUCCUAAGCUUGAAUAUAUAUUUGGCAAGCAGCAGGGCAUGGCAGAGUUAGUUGAAGGAUCUACUAGCAGUGAGGCAAUCGUGCCUACAGCUGUAUCAGAGUUGUCCUCUUCACCCAUGAAUCACUUUUAUCCAUGCCUAGAAGAUCUACAUUUAGUUGGAUGUGGAAGCUUACCAGCGGUUCUAAAUCUGCCUCCAUCCUUAAAUACCUUACAAAUUGCUGACUGCAGUAGUAUUCAAGUCCUAUCAUGUCAGUUGGGUGGGCUCCAGAAACCACAACUCACUACCUCCAUAAGCAGAAGUCCUAUCAUGCCAGAGCCACUAGCAGCAGCAGCAACAGCAAUAGUGCAUUUACUUCCUCCCCAUCUCGAAGUUCUAGGAAUACAGGACUGUGCUGGCAUGUUGGGUGGGACUCUCUGUCUGCCUGCACCUCUCAAAGCACUGACUAUUAUUGGCAAUAGUGGGUUGACAUCAUUGGAGUGUCUGUCGGGAGAGCACCCCCCAUCGCUGGAAGUCCUUGGUCUUCAAAGAUGCAGUACCCUUGCAUCCUUGCCGAAUGAGCCGCACGUAUACAGUUCUCUCAGGUUUCUUAAAAUUACAGGCUGCCCUGCUAUAAAAAAGCUCCCUAGAUGCCUGCAGCAGGAACUGGGCAGCAUCAAAUACAAACAACUCGAUGCCCAGCAUGAAGUGAUGGCACUUAAACCGAAGACAUGGAAGCAGAUGCCAAGGCUAGUCCGUGAGCGGAGGAACGCCGCUACAGAAGCCAAGGAACGCCAACGAUCCACUAGGCAGGAGUAA